CCGGGCAGCGAGCGACCGCCUGCCGCCAUAUUGAUUUUUCUAAUGUCACCCCCGACCCGAAACACCGCGCGCGCCAAAAACCGCUCGCAUUCCGCUCGUCAUGAAUAAAAAUAACAACCUAUUCAUUCCCAUAACAAUAUAAAUGUUCCCUUUAGUGUUAAAUAUCUUGAAAUACAGGACUAAUAUCUAGCCAGGAUCCGAAAAGAGAGAGACGGUCAAUGAAAAAAGGAUAGGCUGAUAACCGUGUGUUAAUUAAAUUGUAAUUGAAAAUCCUGGUUGUAUGGACUUGUGGUAGUGAAGUGUUCAAAUUUAAAAACUAUUGAAGGUAAAUCAAAUGAUUUUAGGUUAUAAUUUGGUGAAUUAUCUCGGCCAAUUCAGAUUUUUGAAUUGCAAUUCUGCUCCGAAGAUGUUUCAGCGUUGUGAAUGACUGUUCGGAUUCCUGCCCUAGAACCAUCCAAACUCUUUAUCCCCUGUGCUCUAUAAAAUACCUAAUUUAUAAAAAAAACUCCUAAUCGCAACACAAACCUCAUUGCUGUCAAUUUAAAAAUAAAAACCCACCGCCAUAAUAUAAAUAAAAGUAUUAUUAAAAAAAUAAAUUUAAAAAUAGAAUUAAAAAAAAUAUACAAUAGUGCAGUGACAGUGCGUACUUUUGUAACGAGUAUGCGUCACUAGUAUUUGAAAGUAGCAUUUCAAGAUGGCGACACCGCCAGAAUCUCCGGUGGAGGAGCAUGCCUACGAGUUAGAGCCAAGUCGAACUCCGAAGCCGAUUCCUGUGGCCUUGGAAGAGCUCUGUCGACAAACCAAGUUCUCGAAGCAAGAAAUCAGAGUCAUGUACAGAGGAUUUAAAACCGAGUGCCCCGAGGGCGUGGUCCAUGAGGACUCCUUCAAAGACAUCUACGCGAAGUUCUUCCCACAUGGCAAUUCGGCAUUAUAUGCCCACUAUGUGUUCAAAGCGUUCGACGUUAACUGCAGUGGAGCGAUCAGCUUCAGAGAGCUGUUAGUGACCCUCUCAACGCUGCUCCGCGGUUCGGUCUACGAGCGUCUGCGCUGGGCGUUCAGGUUAUACGACGUGGACGGUGACGGAGCCAUCACGCGGCAGGAGCUGGCGGAGGUGGUCCUGGCGGUGCACGAGCUGCUGGGCCGCCGGGCGCCUCCUGGCUCGCCGCACGCCAGACUUGACGACGCCAAGGCCAAUGACCAGGUGGACCGCGUGUUCAGGAAGCUGGACCUGAACCAGGACGGCGUGAUCACCAUCGAGGAGUUCCUCGAGUCGUGCCUCAAGGAUGACGUCAUCACGCGCUCGCUGCAGAUGUUCGACACGGCGCUAUGACGUCAGACUGACGACGCGCUCACGCCCGCACCAGUUGCUAGGUCUGGGCGCGUCUAUAAGUUUCUGGAUCCAUGACACAGGGAACCCAGUGACACUAGAGUGGGCCGACAGACGGGUUCCAGGAGCGCGGCAAAGCGCACCUACCCCCCUCCGCAGCCCGUGUGCCGCUGCGCACACGUAUACGACUGGCAGAUGACGUUUACAACAUGGCGGUCGCGCGCGUUAGAGUGCGCUCGCUACCUAACGAUCAUCGAUAACUUCUACAACGCGCGCGUUCGCCCGCGUCUGCGUUCUGUCCUGCUCUUCCAAUUUUAGACUUUUGUAAUGUUAGUGGGAGUGUAUGUGUUCUUUGAGAAGGUGGGUAUGUACCAACUUUGGUGCUUUGGUAACAACUUCAAUACCUAUUGAGUUUUGAUACUGACUUUGGUAACUUAGUACCGAGUUUGUCGCUUUGGUAACAACUUUGGCGUUUUGGUAACAACUUUGGUAAUUAGUUAACAAUUUUGGUACUAAAGGUAUCAAAGGCUAGGGUGACAACUUAGAUACUUACCUACCUACUAAGGCUGCUGAGGUAACUAGUAACAACUUACAUAAGUUAACUUACUUGGUAACAACUUUGGUAUUAAAAUAACAAAGGAUGAUAGUUAGCAACAGCAUUAUGGUACCAACUUUGAAACUUUAGAAACAACUUUGCUCCCAAAAGUCAAA